UACGAGGGGUCCAAGCGUUGUUCGGAAUCACUGGGCGUAAAGCGGGUGUAGGUGGCUCAGCAAGUUGGAUGUGAAAGCCCCGGGCUUAACCUGGGAAGUGCAUCGCAAACGAUUGAUCUGGAGUAGAUGAGAGGGUGGCGGAAUUUCCGGUGUAGCGGUGAAAUGCGUAGAGAUCGGAAGGAACGUCGAUGGCGAAGGCAGCCACCUGGCAUCAUACUGACGCUGAGGCACGAAAGCGUGGGUAGCGAACAGG
rnacentral:rRNA from 1 species